rnacentral:rRNA from 1 species
UGUGGCGCAUGCCACGCUUUUGAAAGAUGGUUUCGGCUAUCGCUUACAGAUGGGCCCGCGGUGCAUUAGCUAGUUGGUAGGGUAAUGGCCUACCAAGGCAACGAUGCAUAGCCGACCUGAGAGGGGGAUCGGCCACACUGGGACUGAGACACGGCCCAGACUCCUACGGGAGGCAGCAGUAGGGAAUCUUCCGCAAUGGACGAAAGUCUGACGGAGCAACGCCGCGUGUAUGAAGAAGGUUUUCGGAUCGUAA